UACGAAGGGGGCGAGCGUUGUUCGGAAUUACUGGGCGUAAAGCGCACGUAGGCGGCUUGUUAAGUCAGGGGUGAAAUCCUGGAGCUCAACCUCCAGAACUGCCUUUGAUACUGGGGAUCUCGAGUCCGGGAGAGGUGAGUGGAACUGCGAGUGUAGAGGUGAAAUUCGUAGAUAUUCGCAAGAACACCAGUGGCGAAGGCGGCUCACUGGCCCGGAACUGACGCUGAGGUGCGAAAGCGUGGGGAGCA
rnacentral:rRNA from 1 species